AUGAACGCUGACAGAAUGCUUAACACAUGCAAGUCAACUUGAAUUUGGGUUUUUAACUUAGGUUUGGGUGGCGGACGGGUGAGUAACGCGUAAAGAACUUGCCUCACAGCUAGGGACAACAUUUGGAAACGAAUGCUAAUACCUAAUAUUAUGAUAAUAGGGCAUCCUAUAAUUAUGAAAGCUAUAAGCGCUGUGAGAGAGCUUUGCGUCCCAUUAGCUAGUUGGAGAGGUAACGGCUCACCAAGGCGAUGAUGGGUAGCCGGCCUGAGAGGGUGAUCGGCCACAAGGGGACUGAGACACGGCCAUUACUCCUACGGGAGGCAGCAGUGGGGAAUAUUGGACAAUGGACCGAGAGUCUGAUCCAGCAAUUCUGUGUGCACGAUGAAGUUUUUCGGAAUGUAAAGUGCUUUCAGUUGGGAAGAAACAAAUGACGGUACCAACAGAAGAAGUGACGGCUAAAUACGUG
rnacentral:rRNA from 1 species